GCCUAUAAAUGAUAUGGUUGAGC
rnacentral:siRNA from 1 species